GGAUUGGCGUGUCGGUCGUGCCUUAAGGGGUAUGAACUGGCGUCGUCGAUUUCUCACCUUCUGGAGAAACGCGAUGCCCUUAAUUGGGUGUCGUGCGGAACCAGGACCUUUACCUUGAAAAAAUUAGAGUGUUUAAAGCAGGCAUUUUUGCUCGAAUACAUUAGCAUGGAAUAAUAGAAUAGGACGUCGAUCCUAUUUUGUUGGUUUCUAGGACCGCCGUAAUGAUUAAUAGGGAUAGUUGGG
rnacentral:rRNA from 1 species